rnacentral:rRNA from 1 species
AUGGCUCAGGAUGAACGCUAGCGGCAGGCUUAACACAUGCAAGUCGAGGGGCAUCGGGAGUAGCAAUACUUGCCGGCGACCGGCGCAAGGGUGCGUAACGCGUGAGCAACAUGCCCGUAUCAGGGGGAUAAUCCAUGGAAACGUGGUCUAAUACCCCAUAGUAAUUAUGUAAGGCAUCUUAUAUAAUUUAAAGCUUUGGUGGAUACGGAUUGGCUCGCGUGACAUUAGCUGGAUGGUAAGGUAACGGCUUACCAUGGCUACGAUGUCUAGGGGUUCUGAGAGGAAGGUCCCCCCACACUGGAACUGAGACACGGUCCAGACUCCUACGGGAGGCAGCAGUGAGGAAUAUUGGACAAUGGAUGGAAAUCUGAUCCAGCCAUGCCGCGUGCAGGAAAGACGGCCCUAUGGGUUGUAAACUGCUUUUGUAUGGGAGCAAUAAGAGCUACGUGUAGUCCGAUGAGAGUACCAUACGAAUAAGCACCGGCUAACUCCGUGCCAGCCGCCGC